rnacentral:RNase_P_RNA from 1 species
AGAGUCGGCCGGGCAGUCGCUCGGUCACUCUCCAGAGGCAUGUCGCAGCUGCGCAAGCGGGGUGCCUGUGGUGAGUGGCCGGGAGGAAAGUCCGGGCUCCACAGGGCAUGGUGCCAGGUAACGCCUGGGGGGCGCGAGCCCACGGAAAGUGCAACAGAAAGCAAACCGCCGAUGUCGGCCGCAUCUCCGGAUGCAGUUGGCAGGUAAGGGUGAAAGGGUGCGGUAAGAGCGCACCGCGCGGCUGGUAACAGGCGUGGCACGGUAAACCCCACCCGGAGCAAGACCAAAUAGGAACCCAUCAGUGCGGCCCGCACAGGGUUCGGGUAGGUCGCUAGAGGCGUGCGGCGACGCACGUCCCAGAUGAAUGACUGUCCUCGACAGAACCCGGCUUACAGGCCGGCUCUGCAU